rnacentral:piRNA from 1 species
UGUGCCAGAUGUGGGCAACAUGGUGUCAG